UACGAAGGGGGCUAGCGUUGUUCGGAAUCACUGGGCGUAAAGGGCGCGUAGGCGGCUUUAUAAGUCGGGGGUGAAAGCCUGUGGCUCAACCACAGAAUUGCCUUCGAUACUGUAAAGCUUGAGACCGGAAGAGGUAAGUGGAACUGCGAGUGUAGAGGUGAAAUUCGUAGAUAUUCGCAAGAACACCAGUGGCGAAGGCGGCUUACUGGUCCGGUUCUGACGCUGAGGCGCGAAAGCGUGGGGAGCAAACAGG
rnacentral:rRNA from 1 species